rnacentral:rRNA from 1 species
UGGGUAACCUGCCUCAAAGAGGGGAAUAGCCUCCCGAAAGGGAGAUUAAUACCGCAUAACAUGUUUAAGUCGCAUGACUUUAACAUCAAAGGAUUUCUUUUAGAACUUCCACUUUGAGAUGGACCCGCGGCGCAUUAGCUAGUUGGUGAGGUAACGGCUCACCAAGGCAACGAUGCGUAGCCGACCUGAGAGGGUNAUCGGCCACAUUGGAACUGAGACACGGUCCAGACUCCCGUAGGGACGG